rnacentral:rRNA from 1 species
GACGAACGCUGGCGGCGUGCCUAACACAUGCAAGUCGAACGAGAAUUCUCAGACAGAAUCCUUCGGGAGGAAGAUUGAGAAGGAAAGUGGCGGACGGGUGAGUAACGCGUGAGUAACCUGCCUCUAAGAGGGGGACAACAGUUGGAAACGACUGCUAAUACCGCAUAAAGUUAUUGUGUCGCAUGACACAGAUUAACCAAAGAUUUUAUCGCUUAGAGAUGGACUCGCGUCUGAUUAGAUAGUUGGUGAGGUAACGGCUCACCAAGUCGACGAUCAGUAGCCGGACUGAGAGUUGAACGGCCACAUUGGGACUGAGAUACGGCCCAGACUCCUACGGGAGGCAGCAGUGGGAAUAUUGCGCAAUU